rnacentral:rRNA from 1 species
UGAGGAAUAUUGGUCAAUGGACGCAAGUCUGAACCAGCCAAGUAGCGUGCAGGAUGACGGCCCUAUGGGUUGUAAACUGCUUUUAUAUGGGGAUAAAGUGGGGAACGUGUUCCCUUUUGCAGGUACCAUAUGAAUAAGGACCGGCUAAUUACGUGCCAGCAGCCGCGGUAAUACGUAAGGUCCGAGCGUUGUCCGGAAUCAUUGGGCGUAAAGGGUACGUAGGCGGAUAAGCAAGUUAGAAGUGAAAUCCUAUAGCUCAACUAUAGUAAGCUUUUAAAACUGCUCAUCUUGAGGUAUGGAAGGGAAAGUGGAAUUCCUAGUGUAGCGGUGAAAUGCGCAGAUAUUAGGAGGAAUACCGGUGGCGAAGGCGACUUUCUGGCCAUAUACUGACGCUGAGGUACGAAAGCGUGGGUAGCAAACAGG